GCAUCCGUAGCUCAGCUGGAUAGAGUACUCGGCUACGAACCGGGCGGUCAGGGGUUCGAAUCCCUUCGGAUGCACCA
rnacentral:tRNA from 1 species